UAGAGUUUGAUCCUGGCUCAGGAUGAACGCUAGCUACAGGCUUAACACAUGCAAGUCGAGGGGCAGCGAGGGUUAGAGCUUGCUCUAAUCCGUCGGCGACCGGCGCACGGGUGAGUAACACGUAUGCAACCUACCUCUAACAGGGGGAUAAUCGGCGGAAACGCCGUCUAAAACCGCGUAUGAUACUGAGAGGCAUCUUUCGGUGUUGAAAGAAUUUUGGUUAGAGAUGGGCAUGCGGCGCAUUAGCUAGUUGGCGGGGUAACGGCCCACCAAGGCGACGAUGCGUAGGGGUUCUGAGAGGAAGGUCCCCCACACUGGUACUGAGACACGGACCAGACUCCUACGGGAGGCAGCAGUGAGGAAUAUUGGUCAAUGGGCGCGAGCCUGAACCAGCCAAGUCGCGUGAGGGAAGACUGCCCUAAGGGUUGUAAACCUCUUUUGUCGGGGAGCAACGGCAUCACGUGUGAUGCUCUGAGAGUACCCGAAGAAAAAGCAUCGGCUAACUCCGUGCCAGCAGCCGCGGUAAUACGGAGGAUGCGAGCGUUAUCCGGAUUUAUUGGGUUUAAAGGGUGCGUAGGCGGGAUUUCAAGUCAGCGGUAAAAUCGUGGGGCUCAACCUCAUCCGGCCGUUGAAACUGGAGUUCUAGAGUGAGUGAGAGGUAUGCGGAAUGCGUGGUGUAGCGGUGAAAUGCAUAGAUAUCACGCAGAACACCGAUUGCGAAGGCAGCAUACCGGUGCUCAACUGACGCUGAGGCACGAAAGCGUGGGGAUCAAAUAGGAUUAGAUACCCUGGUAGUCCACGCAGUAAACGAUGAAUACUACCUGUUCGGUCCGAUUAGGGAUUGAGCGGGACAGCGAAAGCGUUAAGUAUUCCACCUGGGGAGUACGCCGGCAACGGUGAAACUCAAAGGAAUUGACGGGGGCCCGCACAAGCGGAGGAACAUGUGGUUUAAUUCGAUGAUACGCGAGGAACCUUACCCGGGCUCAAACGACUUAGGAAUAACUUUGAAAGGAGUUAGCCGGCAACGGUCUGAGUCGAGGUGCUGCAUGGUUGUCGUCAGCUCGUGCCGUGAGGUGUCGGCUUAAGUGCCAUAACGAGCGCAACCCCUAUCGAUAGUUGCUAACGAGUUAAGUUGAGGACUCUAUCGAGACUGCCGGCGCAAGCUGCGAGGAAGGCGGGGAUGACGUCAAAUCAGCACGGCCCUUACGUCCGGGGCGACACACGUGUUACAAUGGCGGGGACAGCGGGAAGCCACCUGGCGACAGGGCGCGGAACCCGAAACCUCGUCUCAGUUCGGAUUGGAGUCUGCAACUCGACUCCAUGAAGCUGGAUUCGCUAGUAAUCGCGCAUCAGCCAUGGCGCGGUGAAUACGUUCCCGGGCCUUGUACUCACCGCCCGUCA
rnacentral:rRNA from 1 species